rnacentral:rRNA from 1 species
CCAAUAGCGUAUAUUAAAGUUGUUGCAGUUAAAAAGCUCGUAGUUGAAUUUCGGGGUUAGCAGGUCGGUCGUGCCAUCGGUAUGAACUGGUCUCGCUGAUCCCUCCCUCUUGGCGAACUGUGAUGCCAUUAAUUUGGUGUCGCAGGGAAUCAGGACUGUUACUUUGAAAAAAUUAGAGUGUUUAAAGCAGGCUCACGCUUGAAUACAUUAGCAUGGAAUAAUGAAAUAGGACGUUUGAUCCUAUUUUGUUGGCUUCUAGGAUUGACGUAAUGAUUAAUAGGGAUAGUUGGGGGCAUUAGUAUUCAAUUGUCAGAGGUGAAAUUCUUGGAUUUAUUGAAGACUAACUACUGCGAAAGCAUUUGCCAAGGAUGUUUUCAUUAAUCAAGAACGAAAGUUAGGGGAUCGAAGACGAUCAGAUACCGUCGUAGUCUUAACCAUAAACUAUGCCGACUAGGGAUCGGAUGAUGUUAAUUUUUUAAUGACUCAUUCGGCGCCUUACGGGAACCCAAACACUUUGGUUUC